GAUGGAACACAGGGCUGACCAGACUUUCUGGAGACUUGUAUCCUGCAGCCAGUCAUCACCAACGUUUUAACCCUGCUGCAGAUAUGGUAUCACAGGGGAAGGAAGCUGAAGGAAGAAAACAUUUCAGGUGUGGGGCUGGAAGUUUGAAGUCAAGACCUACAUUUUUAAAAAGUUAAAUUAAAUUUAUUGCAUGUGAAUGAUGUGUGUGCAUGCGUGUGGGUGUGCACAUGCCAUGUCACAGGUGUGGAGAGCAGAGGAGAACUUUCUGGAAUCAGUCCUCGCCUUUUCCUCUGGGAUCCUGGACUCAGAGUCUGAUGAACAGGCUUGCAAGGUGCGCACCACACCGCUAACCUAACCCUUGACUGUCAUCAUACAGAAGAAACCUUGACCAUGACAAUUGCUUCCUCACCACAGCAUCCUGAACUGCAGGAGGGCAUGGUAUCAUGGAACCAAAGCUCGUUUUAAAGAAAAGCAUAGCAGAUAUUUCAUAAAUAGACUCCUUUUGCAACUUGAAAGUUUGAAGAAUGCCCACUGGUUAUUGCGAUGACUUAUGAGCUGGGAGGCUACAAAGGUCUAUCUGCAAAGCCUUGGCCUCCACUCUCCAGAUGUUCUAAAGACGGUUGCAAAGCCUUGGCCUCCACUCUCCAGAUGUUCUAAAGACGCCCCUGGCCUUUCCUGGUACCUGAAACCUGGAACGUGUCUGGAAAUAAUCUCUCCAGUGAAUAAAUGAAUCAAGGAUCAAGCUCUGCUUGGAACAAACUUGUGGAGGAAGAAGGUUGCUACUUGCUAUGUGCUUCGCACAUAACACAGCCCCUUCCUAGAAAAAAGGGCUGACCUUGGCUUUCCUGAGUCCCUUCAUUAAGAUUCUAACUCUGGGAUCUUCAGACUGUGAAUUAAAUGU